ACAGUAAAGCUUGCAAGUUUGAUAUCAUGUUCUCAGGUCUUGCAUUUUGAUUCAGAGACAGAAGAAACGGAUCGUCUGGCAUUAGUUGAUUUCUUGAAGGGGCUUCUUGAAUUUGAUCCAAAUAAGCGAUGGUCACCAGUGCAGGCUCUAUUUCAUCCUUUCAUAACAGGCGAACCGUUCACCGGUCCAUAUGAUCCUGUACCUGAGACUGCAAGAAUUUAUUUUUUUAUCAACAUUAUGCAAGUAACCUGGCACAACAUUGCACCUGUUCCGGAAAAUCUUUGGUCUCAAAUCACUAAGUGUUAUUCACAGCAAGAACAUCCAAUAACUGAAUCUCAGUAGAGCAAGAAAGCAAGUAUUUGUUGCGGGGACCUAAUUUGCAGGACAUCUACGCCUAUAUUGGGAAGGUCACUCCUCUCGGACCACCACAAAUUAGGUUAUGCUAAAUUUCAAAGUAGCUUAAACUAUGUAGUUGAUAGUUACUACUUCCUAGUCAAAAUGUAAAAUAAUAAAAUUUCCUUGUAUUAACCAUAAAUUUGGCCUGAUGUUUUUAUGUUCCCUGAUAGAUAAUAUGAAUGUAA